CACCGCCCGUCACACCAUGGGAGUUGAUUGCACCAGAAGUGGGUAGCUUAACAUUGGGCGCUCACCACGGUGUGGUUGAUGACUGGGGUGAAGUCGUAACAAGGUAACCCUAGGGGAACCUGGGGUUGGAUCACCUCCUUAAACCAAGA
rnacentral:rRNA from 1 species